rnacentral:lncRNA from 1 species
ACUCCCCUCACACCGCUCCCUACAGCUUGUACUCUGCCUCUGACUCUCUUCCAAGAACAAUUUGGCAAGUUCUAAUCUACAUCUUGCAAAAAAAAAACAAAAAACAAAAAACAGAGAGGUAGGAGGGCCACAGCACCUGGGGUCCCAGAAGGCAGACUGACCUAUUCCUACAGCAGGGAGACAAGGUCUCAUUCUGUUGCCCAGGCUGGAGUGCAGUGGUGCAAUCACGGUUCACUGCAACCUGGAACUCCAGGGUUCAAGCAAUCCUCCUGCCUCAGCCUGCCGAGUAGCUGUGACAACAGGUGCGAGCCACCAUGCCCAGCUAAGAUUUCACCAUGUUGCCCAGCUGGUCUUGAACUCCUGGCCUCAAGCAAUUCUCCUGCUUUAGGCUCCCAAGUUGCUGGAAUUACAGGCUGCCUCCUCUGAGCCUUCCCAGAUUCUCAGUCUGUGAUGAAAUAGACAGAACACCAAGCUACCAGGAAGGGCACCUGCCUCCUAGAUCGGAAUCUUCGUCCAUUCGCACUUAGGUGAUCACUUGCCUUCGAGAGCCCCAUCCAGAAGACGGGAGUAAUGAGCCCUGCUCUGCCCAUCACGGGCCGCUAUGAGGAUGCAAAAGCACUUAGGAAAGAAUUUAAAUGCUACACAGGCACACGAUAUUGUUACGCACAGUCAAAGCUGGUGCAUCGGGCACUUCAUCAUCCAGAAACCUCUUUUACCUUACAAUGUGAGAUAAACUUAUAUACCUUUC